rnacentral:rRNA from 1 species
AGUGAACGCUGGCGGUAGGCCUAACACAUGCAAGUCGAACGGCAGCACAGUAAGAGCUUGCUCUUACGGGUGGCGAGUGGCGGACGGGUGAGGAAUACAUCGGAAUCUACUUUUUCGUGGGGGAUAACGUAGGGAAACUUACGCUAAUACCGCAUACGACCUACGGGUGAAAGCAGGGGAUCUUCGGACCUUGCGCGAUUGAAUGAGCCGAUGUCGGAUUAGCUAGUUGGCGGGGUAAAGGCCCACCAAGGCGACGAUCCGUAGCUGGUCUGAGAGGAUGGUCAGCCACACUGGAACUGAGCCACGGUCCAGACUCCUACGGGAGGCAGCAGUGGGGAAUAUUGGACAAUGGGCGCAAGCCUGAUCCAGCCAUACCGCGUGGGUGAAGAAGGCCUUCGGGUUGUAAAGCCCUUUUGUUGGGAAAGAAAAGCAGCAGGUUAAUACCCCGCUGUUCUGACGGUACCCAAAGAAUAAGCACCGGCUAACUUCGUG